GAGCGGCCGUAGCAAUACGGCAGCGGCAGACGGGAGAGUAACACGUGGGAACGCGCCCUUCGGUUCGGAAUAACUCAGGGAAACUUGGGCUAAUACCGGAUACGCCCUUACGGGGAAAGAUUUAUUGCCGAAGGAACGGCCCGCGUCCGAUUAGCUUGUUGGUGAGGUAACGGCUCACCAAGGCGACGAUCGGUAGCUGGUCUGAGAGGAUGACCAGCCUCACUGGGACUGAGACACGGCCCAGACUCCUACGGGAGGCAGCAGUGGGGAAUAUUGGACAAUGGGCGCAAGCCUGAUCCAGCCAUGCCGCGUGGGUGAUGAAGGCCUUAGGGUUGUAAAGCCCUUUCGGCGGGGAAGAUAAUGACGGUACCCGCAGAAGAAGCCCCGGCUAACUUCGUG
rnacentral:rRNA from 1 species